UGGGCGGGAUGCUACCAUGCAGUCGAGCGGAAGGCCCUGCUUGCACGGUGCUCGAGUGGCGAACGGGUGAGUAACACGUGGGUGAUCUGCCCCUGACUUUGGGAUAAGCCUGGGAAAGUGGGUCUAAUACCGGAUAUGACCAAGGAUUGCAUGGUUCUUGGUGGAAAGCUUUUGCGGUUGGGGAUGGGCCCGCGGCCUAUCAGCUUGUUGGUGGGGUAAUGGCCUACCAAGGCUGACGACGGGGAGCCGACCUGAGAGGGUGAUCGUGAACCACACUGGGACUGAGAUCGUACGGCGCCAGACUCCUACGGGAGAUGCAGCAGUGGGGAAUAUUGCACAUAGUGGGCGCACCACGCCUGAUGCAGCGACGCCGUCGUGAGGGAUGACGGCCUGUCGGGUAUGUAAACCUCAUUUCUUCAGGGACGAAUGCGCGAGUGUCGGUGAGAGUGCCUGAACAAAAAGCACCGGCCCAACUACGUGCCCUCAGCCCGCGCUAAUACAUAAAGGCGCGAGCGUUGUCCGGAAUUACUGGGCGUAAAGAGCUCGUAGGCGGUUUGUCGCGUCGUCCUGUGAGAUUCUGCAGCUUAACUGCAGCGCGUGCAGGCGAUACAGGCAGACUUGAGUACUACAGGGGAGACUGGAAUUCUUCGAUGUGGCGGUGAAAUGCGCAGAUAUCAGGAGAGAACACCGCUGUCGAAGGGGGGUCUCUGGGUAGUAACUGACGCUGAGGAGCGAAAGAGUGGGUAGCGAACACGAUUAGAUACCCUGGUAGUCCACCCCCGUAAACGGUGGGUACUAGGUGUGGGUUCCAUUUCACGGGAUCCGUGCCGUAGAUAACGCAUUAAGUACACUCGCCUGGGGAGUACAGCCGCAAGGCUAAAACUCAAAGGAAUUGACGGGGGGCCCGCACAAGCAGGCGGAGCAUGUGGAUUAAUUUCGAUGCAACGCGACAGAACCUUACCUGGGUCUGACAUACACCAGCACGCCAGCAGAGAUGUUGGUUCCCUUGUGGUUGGUCGUACUAGGUGGUGCAUGAGCUGUCGUCAGCUCGUCGUCGUGAGAUGAUUGGGCUUAAGUCCCGCAACGAGCGCAACCCUCUGUCCUGUAUUAGUCCAGCGGGUUAUGCCGCGGAGACUUGCAGGAGACUGCCGGGGUCAACUCGGAGGAAGGUGGGGAGGAAGUCAAGUCAUCAUGUCACCUUAUGUCCAGGAGCUUGCACACACUGCUUCAAUUGCACCGGUGACCAUGAGUGGCUGCGAUACCGUGAGGUGGAGGGAAUCCAUUAAAGAAAGUCUCAGUUAGUAUGGGGGUCUGCAACUAGAUCCCGUGAAGUAGGAGUGAAUAGUAAUUGCAGAUCAGCAACGAUGCGGCGAAUACGUUGUUCGGGCGGCGUACACACCGCCGCGUCGUCGUCAUGAAAGUAGGUAACACCACGAAGACACUGUGGCGCAUAACCCCGUAAGGAGGCAGCUUCGAAUGGGAUUG
rnacentral:rRNA from 1 species